rnacentral:rRNA from 1 species
UACGGAGGGGGCUAGCGUUGUUCGGAAUUACUGGGCGUAAAGCGCACGUAGGCGGCGAUCUAAGUCAGAGGUGAAAGCCCGGGGCUCAACCCCGGAACUGCCUUUGAGACUGGAUUGCUAGAAUCUUGGAGAGGCGGGUGGAAUUCCGAGUGUAGAGGUGAAAUUCGUAGAUAUUCGGAAGAACACCAGUGGCGAAGGCGGCCCGCUGGACAAGUAUUGACGCUGAGGUGCGAAAGCGUGGGGAG